UGGCAAUGUGCCUAGCUACACUACAUUUCCUGCCUCCCUUGCAGCUAGAGGUGGCCAAUGAGAUAUAAACAGAUGCUGUAAGGUGAGACUUGAAAGAAAACCCCUUGAGAAGUAAAUGUAUGGAUAGCAUGUGCCUUUUGUGCCCAUUUUCUUAUUCUACUCCUGAACUAGAUGUACUAGGCUCAUUUUCCUUUUGUUUCUUCCCUCACAUUGACACAGACAUGAUGUCUAGAUCCCUAGCAGUCAUCCCAGACCAUGAGAUAACUUUGAGAAGGAACACCAUGUACAAAGGACUGUGCAGAAGAGGGUUGGCAGGAGCCUGGAUCUCUGAUGACUUCACCCUUGACUGCCCACCUCACCAGGCUGUACAAGCCACUGUUACUGGCAGAUGAAUGCAAGUUCUAAAACAUACAACUACUGACCUACUGAAUUUUCCAAGGAGCACAUUUCCACUGGAGACAUUUGGUGCCUGCAGAAAAUACUUACUGAGGAAUUUCUAUGGGACCAGCCUGAAGUAGAAGCCACUGAAGAGAGGCCCUGAAGCAGCUUUUCUUCCUUAUCCCAGAGACCAACAUGGUUACCCCAGCCCAGAGUCACCCUCCUUCCUCUAAGCUGUCAAAACCCUGGCUGCCUUUACAAUGAUUCUGACAAUGAAUCCCACCCUGCUGGUGAUGUCUAUUGCUUUACUGUUAAACUUUUUAAGGGUUAAAAUUCCUUUUUAUUUUUCUUUUUAAAUUGAUUAAUAAUAGUUGUACCAAUUUGGAUGGUACCUGUAAUAUUUUGAUACCUACAUACAAUGUGUGAUGAACAAAUCAGAGUAAUUGGGCUAGCCAUCACCUCACACAUUUAUCUAGGGCUGAAAUCCCUGAAGGACAGGAUUGUGUCUUACAAAUUGUGUAUUCUAAUCUGCAUUUACAUUUCAGAAAUUCUGGACUAAGUAGGCAAACCAACAGAAACUCUUGCUAUGAAGAUCUGGAGGUUUCCUGGAGGAAGUGGUGAAUAGGGCCUUGGGACUGAUGUUAAAAGCCCUGGAACACAAUAGGGAGACUCCUGAACUAGGAAGAAGUCAAAAGCUCUGGUAGCAGCCCCCACAAAUUAAGAAACCUACUCAGAGUAAAAGAAACAGGCCAUGGUGGGUGGCCGGGGAGCAAGGAAUAUUUGUGAGUAACCCCAGAUGGUGGCAAUCAUUUAAUGCCCUCCAUCCCUCUCAGUGUAUAUUAGGUUAUGUUUUUUUUUUAGAAAAUGGAGGAAGGGUUUUACUAUGUUGCCUAGGCCAGUCUCAAACUCCUAGGCUCAAGCGAUUCACCUGCAUUGGCCUCCUAAAUUGCUGGGAUUACAGGCAUGAGCCACUGUGCCUGGCCCAAGAAGUCUGAGCCAGACGUUGCUGCAUAGGUCAGAACUCUGUGGGCUAUGAAUGUAAGAUAUUCACGAGUCACAUCUAUUCCAUUCAUUGGCAAACACUUACCUGAAACCAUACAGCAAAAGAG
rnacentral:lncRNA from 1 species